rnacentral:RNase_P_RNA from 1 species
CUCUUUUUUGAAUAUCAUCGCUCCACCGUGAGAGGAAAGUCCGAGCUGCACAAAAAACACAAAAACGGCUAACCGCCGAUCCAAUCAUUUUUUGAUUGAGGGAAAGUGGCACAGAAACAAAAUCUUCCGUCCUUGACGGACUCGAGUGAAAAGAGAUUUCAGAGAUAUGAAAUCUGCACAACCGAGGCAACUGGUUGUGAGGCAAAACCCUUUUGGCAGAGAAGCUGGUGGUCUCUUGAGCGAGAGAUGUGUUUUUUCAUCUUUGACCGUUCAAGUGUCCAGCCGAUAAAACCUGACUGAAAAGUCUGGGAAUAAGAGAAAUGAUGAUACCAAACCAAACUCGGCUUACUCAAAAAAGAGCUUU